rnacentral:rRNA from 1 species
AUUGAACGCUGGCGGCAGGCCUAACACAUGCCAGUCGAGCGGAUGAAGGGAGCUUGCUCCUGGAUUCAGCGGCGGACGGGUGAGUAAUGCCUAGGAAUCUGCCUGGUAGUGGGGGAUAACGUCCGGAAACGGGCGCUAAUACCGCAUACGUCCUGAGGGAGAAAGUGGGGGAUCUUCGGACCUCACGCUAUCAGAUGAGCCUAGGUCGGAUUAGCUAGUUGGUGGGGUAAAGGCCUACCAAGGCGACGAUCCGUAACUGGUCUGAGAGGAUGAUCAGUCACACUGGAACUGAGACACGGUCCAGACUCCUACGGGAGGCAGCAGUGGGGAAUAUUGGACAAUGGGCGAAAGCCUGAUCCAGCCAUGCCGCGUGUGUGAAGAAGGUCUUCGGAUUGUAAAGCACUUUAAGUUGGGAGGGAGGGCAGUAAGUUAAUACCUUGCUGUUUUGACGUUACCAACAGAAUAAGCACCGGCUAACUUCGUG